AACGCGAAGAACCUUACCUGGGCUUGAACCGCACAGGAUCCUCCUUAGAAAUAGGGACUUCCCGCAAGGGACCUGUGUAGAGGUGCUGCAUGGCUGUCGUCAGCUCGUGCCGUGAGGUGUUGGGUUAAGUCCCGCAACGAGCGCAACCCUUACUCGUAGUUGCCACCCGCAAGGGGGAACUCUACGAGGACUGCUCCGGAUAACGGAGAGGAAGGUGGGGAUGAGGUCAAGUCAGCAUGGCCUUUAUGUCCAGGGCUACACACGUGUUACAAUGCGCGCCACAAAGCGUCGCGAACCCGCGAGGGGGAGCUAAUCGCAAAAAAGCGCGCUCAGUUCGGAUUGCAGUCUGCAACUCGACUGCAUGAAGCCGGAAUCGCUAGUAAUGGCGCAUCAGAACGGCGCCGUGAAUACGUUCCCGGGCCUUGUA
rnacentral:rRNA from 1 species